rnacentral:rRNA from 1 species
CCUACGGGAGGCAGCAGUGAGGAAUAUUGGUCAAUGGACGAGAGUCUGAACCAGCCAAGUCGCGUGAGGGAGGAAGGCCCUAUGGAUUGUAAACCUCUUUUGUAUGGGAAUAAAACAGGGGAUGCGUACCCGCAUGUGUGUACCAGAUGAAUAAGGAUCGGCUAACUCCGUGCCGGCAGCCGCGGUAAUACGGAGGAUGCGAGCGUUAUCCGGAUUUAUUGGGUUUAAAGGGCGCGGAGGUGGAUUGUUAAGUCAGGUGUGAAAGUCUGGGGCUCAACCGUGAAACUGCCGUUGAAACUGGCAGUCUUGAGUACAGGAGAGGUAGGCGGAAUUCGUGGUGUAGCGGUGAAAUGCUUAGAUAUCACGAAGAACUCCGAUUGCGAAGGCAGCUCGCUGGACUGCAACUGACGCUGAGGCUCGAAAGUGUGGGUAUCAAACAGGAUUAGAUACCCGAGUAGUC